AAGUGCUGGGAUUAUAGAUGUGAACCACCACGCCCAGCCUCUUUUUACUUUUCUUAAUGUGGCUACUAUAAAGUUUCAUAUCACAUGUGUGGAAGGGUUAUAUAUUUCAUUUCUAAUGAACAACACUGAUACAGAUAUUGGGGCUGAGGAGGCACAGGAAUUGGUUCUAAGAACCCAGUUUAAGAUCUUAGACUCCCAGCAUGGCUCCCUGCAGUGGUGUGGUAAAUAACUUAUUUUUCUGCCUUCCCCAUGUUCCCCCCUUACACUGUGUAACACAGAACUUAUCCUACUCUGUUAUAAUGAUCACUGAGAGUAGACUGUCGGUGAAUGCGUGAUCUCACUGGUAGAUCUGUUACAGGCCUGCAAAACAAAAAUUUGUUAGGCUUAUCUGUGACUCAGUCUUCUCAAGCUCUGGUACCUUGUCACCCUGGGAGGCUGAUGGAAAACCUAUGCUCUGUUUUCGAAAGCACAAGCACAAGCAUCCUAGAGUUACAGCUGGUUUUGCUGCUUGUGGCUAAAUGGUUUGGGGCCGAUACUUUCUAGUGACAGAUGGCUUUGGACAUUGAUAAUGAAAAUUAUAUAAUUUGUUGCUUAACUAAAAAACAUCAAGGCCAUCAAAAGGAAAUCUGUUUAAAAAAAAACUUUCUAAUAUAUUUAGUACCAUAGGAUACUCUGAAAAGAAAUGAUUAUUUUUAACCAUCAUUGUUUAUUUUGCAAGCAAGACCUAGAUAAAUUUUCAUCAAUGCAGCUCUGACCAAGAUUGAAUAUAAGGCAAGUAUCAUAAUUUAUGGUCUUAGUCAUCUAAAGAACAUAGCUCUUCUUACAUGGAAAGAAAACAGACAACAUUUUGAGGCUUAGAAUGAAUGAGUUGAACUUUGUUUGGUAUUGGCCAGGAGCAUUUGGAAAUUUAUUAAAAGCAUUUCAUUAACAACUUGGCAUUUUGUUUCCUCAAAAGAAAUACAUUUUCCAAAUUUAAAUCAAAGCCAGAACCACCAUUUUUUGAACUGAAGGUAGUGGCAGCUGAUGGUUUGUGCCUGUUAAGCUGAGGGUGCCUUCGGAAUAAGAUCAUGGGCAACAACAGGCUGCAAAAAUAAACAUCAAAUUUUUAUGGAAGGAGUGAAGCAGUGUUCUUUGUUGUUCUAACUUGAUGACAUUAAAAUAUGUGGCUAUAAGCUCUCUUAGUUACUUUAUUUUUCUUGAGUCAAUAUUGGCCAGGAGAAGCUGAUCUGAAUGAGGGUCAGAGGUUAAGAAAAUUAUUUUAUGAGGAAUUUACCAAGUUUACCCCCGAAGAGGGAGAGUUAGAGAAAAAUGCAUUGGCAAACUUUGCUUUUUGACAUAAAUAACUAGAAUUCACCAAGGGAACGGCCUGUGUCAGGGUUUCAGUGAGGGUUGUCAGGCAGUUUGAUAUUUGCAGAACCCCUCUCUGUCAGGCCUCUCCAAAGUUUAACUGCUAGGAGAUCUGGGAAGCUCUCAAGACUGGCGACUGAAGAUACUGAUUUGCUUUGUGUCUGAGACACAGGCAUAAAACGAUGGCUACUGCCACAGAUGCUUUCUGACAGAGCAGAAUAAUAGCACUCAGACUUAAACUGUACAUUACAAACAAUCCCUUUUUAAGUACAAAAUGAAUGCACAGAAUGGAAGACCCUGUCAGCUAGAAUACAAGUAAAUCAAGUAGAAGAAGACAAAUUAUUCACUCAUACCACUACAGCCAAAUUUUUAUUCUGCUAACUGCACUGUCAUGAGAGAGCUUUUCUUCUUUGUCAGAUGUUAAUAUUUAUGCCUAGUGUUCCAUUAUCGGAACGCUAAGCAUGUGGGAGUUAUUUAUAUCCUACUGCUCGAGGUCAUCGCCAAGGUCUGAUUGCAAAAAUUCAAAAAAUUGCAACCAUAAAUGGGUUAAGAAAAUCGAUACAUCAUAGUUAUUACAAAUAUAUGAGGCACUGGAUGCAUUUCCUCUGAGAGCCAAUCAAAUUACAGGAUAUGUUUCCUAACUCCCCACACCUAUUCCAGUUUAAAAGUUGUAGCUUGAGUACCAGGAGUAAGAACACGUGAACCCUUCACUCCCAGGGCUAGCUUUUCCUGCUGUCAAUUUCAUAAUUAUAUUGCUCCGCCCCUUGGCUUAGCACUUCCUUUCCCCUCACUACCUUCUCACCCCAACCCCCAGCAAUGAAUCAUCAGGCCUUUAAAGAGACUUAGACGACCCAGUGUGAACUUCGCUGGCAUCCUGUACAUUCUUAUGCCAAAAAAGGGGAGUUGCUCUAAGACAGAAACUAGCCAGACCCUGAUGCAGAUCUUGGAGGCAACAAGCUUGGGUGCUUAUCUGGGAAGAUCAGCGAGGAGUUAAUUUUCCUAGAUCGCAAUGGUGAUUCAGAAUUGCAUAUCUUAGUUCAUGAUUGGGUUUUUAAGAACCCAGUUCGACCCUUUGUACAGAAAGGAAUAUAUCAAAGGGAAAAAUGUUGGCAGAUCUCCUUAUGCAAUCAGGGCAAAGGAAUUUAUACCACAUUCAACUCUUUGAUUUCUCCAGAUCUGGCUGAGGGUGGGGUUUCCAUAUUUGUGCUUUGGCAAAUGUGUCCAAUAAUUAACUCCUCCUGAUAUAUGCCCCUAGUGUUCUUCCAGGUUAUCAUGUGCUUAUUUGUGCAUUUAUUAAAACCAGAAACAUUUUUGCCCCUUCAUUGUUUAAAUACUGUGUCUGAGUAAUACAGGUUAAAUAGACAACAAGAGCCUUGCCUUUUAAAGACUUUACUCCCCACCUAAAGAGGUGAAGGAGAUAUCAUUUAAAUAACAUUAUGCGUGUGCAUAUACCUUCUAUAUGGAAAGCCCUUUCUUCUCCUCCCUCCUUUUUUUUUUUUUUUUUUUGCAUGGAGAUUUUAUCCUCAUGCUUUUGAGAUCCGGCUCAAGCAUCAACACUUCUGUGAAGUCUUUCUUGAUUAUCACAGGAGUCUGCGGCUCUGCCCAAUGUGUGAGUCAGAGAAGUGCUAUUUUCUUAUUCUUUUUAUUUAUACAAUAUUUUUUUAAACCUCUAACCGAAAAAAACAGGGCCAUAAGCACAGAUGGAGAGAGUAUCCUAAGUGGGAGCUCUCUUACUUGAAUACUUCCUGCUACUCCCAAACCCAUUUGACCUCCCUUACAGUUUCAGCGUGCAACUGCGCUUCCUUUGUUUAUGCUCCAAUUAUGUGACUCCCCUCCACUGAUCAGUUUUUCAUGUAACUUUCCACUGCCCUCUGUUAUGAGUUGAAUUGUGACCCCAAAAGAUACAUCGAAGUCCUAACCCCAGUAACUAUGAGUGUAGCCUUAUUUGGGAGUAGCAUUUUUGCAGAUGUAAUUAGUUAGGAUGAGGUUUUACUGUUUUAGGGUGGACCCUAAAUCCAAUGCAACUGUUGUCCUCAUAAGAAGAGAAGACACAGAAACAGAGGAGACACAGGGUAGAUGACCAUGUGAAGACAAGGCAGAGACUGGAGAUAUGCUGCCACAAGCCAGGGAAUGCCAGGGAUUGCUAGCAACCACCAGAAGCUAGAAGAGGCAAGGAAGCCUCCUCUCCUAGAGCAUUUAGAGAAAGGAUGGCCCUGUUGACACCUUGAUUUCAGACUUCUAACUUCCAGAACUGGGAGGGAAUAGAUACCUGUUGUUUUAAGCCACCCAGUUUGUGGUACUUUGUUAUAGCCAUCCUAGGAGACGAAUGCACCCUCCUUAUGAGAUCCAUGAUUCCAGGUCUGUUGGAUUCUCCUUUCUUCUCUUUAUUUACGUAUAUGGCCCUACCUCUUCCUGCUGCAGAUACUCCUAGGUAAUCUGUUCUGGAUGUACUUUUGGUCUUGCACCUAUGACAAUACCAAUAAACAAAGAAAAGGUCUAAUGGAAUAGAAAACUUACAGAGUUCUAGAACCGCCUCCUCGUCAUCCCAGAAAAACAUCUGGCUUCUGGCUCCAGGCCUCAGAGAGCACAAGUACAUUACACUCCUGCACGGGGCGUCAGCUGGUGUCGGCGUCCUCCUCGGCCCUCCUCAGCUCCCUCUGCUGGGCGCCCGAUGCACCAGCAGCUUCCCUCUUCAGAAGUAGUCUUCCAGCAUGUGGGUGGGGUUGGGGUGAAGAAGAGACCGCAAAAACUAAAUUAAUUUGAUAUUGAGGAAAUACAAUGCUAAUUGUUUGGCUUUCUUUUACUGUCUAUUUGAGUGUUAUCAAAGUGCUUAUGAAGACCUUGGUCUUUCUGAUUCUCCUUUUUCAAAAAACCAAAAAAAACCGAGAAGCUCAUUUGUUUCAGGAAGUUUCCCUGAGCGAGUGGAAGGGGAGGCCUCACACUGAAGCCAGAAUACAAAGGAAGUCCUCUUGAGAUGGAUAAAGCAGUUCUUACAUGCAAAUCUCAGAAAAUGGCAACUCCAUCUUUCCACCUGUUCAAGCCCAGAACCGCUGGCAGUGUCUUGACUCUCUCGUCAGACCCCACAUCCAAUUUGCCAAAAAUCCAGUUAAAUCUACCUUCAAAACAUAUCCAGAAUCUGACCAUUUUUCAGCCCUGGGACUGCUACCACUGGAGUUAAACCACCACCGUCCUUCGUCAGGGUUACUGCGACAGCCUCCUAAAUUGGCCCUUACUUCUCCAGUUACCGGCCCACACCAGUCUACUGCCUGCAUUAGGUUGAUGCCACAGCUCUGCUCAGAGACCAAGGGCUCCCCCAAGGUCAAGUAAAAGCCCUUCAUGGCCUACAAGGCUGGCCUCGAUCAGGUCCUCAACUUUUCUGAUCUCAUCUAUCCCUGUCCUUGCUCCCACACUGCCAGCCUCACUGUCCUCUUUGCUGGUCCUCAAAUAAGCCAGCUGCUCUCUUGCCUCAGGGCCUUUGUAUUAGCUGUUCCCUCGGCUUGGAAUGCUUUUCCCUCUUGUGUUCGCAUGGCCCACUCCUUCAUCUUCUUCAGGUUAUUUUUUCUAAGAAUCAACCUCCUAGUGAGGCCUGCUGUGAACACCCUACUAAAAAUUCUACUCCCUCACUUUCCCGAUCCACCUUGCCCUGCUCAUUUAUCCCAUAAAUGUGUUGCUUUAUAACAUUCUAUGUCAUCUACUUUGUUUGUUUGUUUAUUGUCAGGAGGGCAGAGAUUUUUUUUUUUUUUUGUCUGGCUCAUUCAUCUAGAAUAGUUCUUGGCACAUGAUAGACACCCACUAAAUAGGCAUUGACUAUUAAAUGAAUUAAUCAGUAAUGUUUUCCAGAACCUACUAUGUGCAAAGUUCUGUCAGCCCCCAACACAAUGAUUAUCUCAUUAGGAGCUAAUCCAAAACUAAUCCAUCUGGUCCACACUAUGGUAUAAUAUAUGUUCUCUUUACUUGACCUUUGCCUUAGUGUCUGACAUGACUAUUAAAGCUGAGUUGGAAUGAACUGAGUCUCACACUCAGGCUUUGCAGAUGUCAUUUCAUUUCAUCCCCAUGAUGAUACUGUGAGAUAGAGAUCAUGAUUCUCACUUAUUAGGUGAUUAAACUGAGGCUUGGAGUUUAAAGGACCUGCCCAAAGUUCAGGGUCACCCAGCACUGGUUUCAAAGUGAAGUUAUCCACCUAUGCAGCUUGAGAAUUGUUAACAAGUCAUUACCUGAAUGAAAUAGGACAGUUACAGUCAUAACACUGCAUUGCAAUGUUUUGGCUAAGGGACCAUUUUUAAUCCAAUCUCUAGUUUUUGGAUUAUACAUGAAUUGUGAAUAACACCUGUAUCCCAGAAAUUAAAGCUAGUGAUGCUCAUUGAGAACUGAGUAUUUCUCCAUAAGCGAAUUGGCUUCAGAUCAACCUAAGUGGUUUCCCAACUAACAGAACUCUAUUCCAGCUUAUAAUUUUUACUCAUGCUGCUACAUGGGCUGGAAAUGAUUCUCACUUGAGGUUCAUGCUUGAAUCCCUAGAACCCUUUCCUAUUAAAGUCCUGUCUAAAGUAUCCCAUUACAGUAAGGACGAAGGAGAUCGUAAAGGGCCAACAUGAAUUCUCAAGGCUAAUUUAAUGACUUAAUUUCCUUCAGUUACUCUGGGCUGAACUUCUCCUGUUCUACCCGCAAGCUUCCCAGAGUCCUCUGUGACCAGAAUCGAAGCAUAGUGUCUGAAAGUAGCCUGGCCACACAAGAUGUGCAAAACACUGUAACCUCUUCACAGCCUCACUCCACUUUGUAUUUGAGGGAAAUGAUUCUAGAAGCUGAAAUAGACCAGAGUUCAACAGUCUGGGAAAUUUGAAGAAGAAAAAAGGAAGAGAAAAAAAAAAAAAAAAAAAACCAAGCCCUGCAUUUGCAGAGAUGUGAAGAGAACCCAGCUCUCUGAAGUUGGAAGGAAGUGAGAAGACCCUAUUUGUGGCUGCAGGAGAGGAAAAGAAAAGAGACCCGCAAGGAAACUACCAACAGAUGAUUAUAUAGCUACCACACUAUUUGGCACAGCUGGGAUCCUCUUUUCAUGAAAUAGCAGGGAAGAUUGGUAGAUAAGGAUUAAAAAGCACUGGCAGAGGAGACAGGGAGACUUACACAAUUACUUCCUACCCAGUGCCUUCCUGGUCUAGGAACUUCUUCCAGCCUCUUUUGGAGAGAGAGGUAAGUGGGAGGAAAGGGGAUUUUUAUCUUUUUAGUAAAAGAAAGGAUAACAAAAACACUUUAGCACUGCUCAAUUUGAUGAAAUCUUGAUUUCACAUAGUUUAAGUUUCUACCAGACUAAAUAUAUUCUUGUUCAAAAUAACAUAUAUAUUCAUAGAUAACUUUUCCAGUGGAUACAUAUGUAGUUCAUUAAUAAAAACUCUUCUCAAUCA